GAGGGUAUAGCUGAGGUGGUAGAGUACAUGCUUAGCAUGCCUGAGGCCCUGGGUUCAAUCCCCAGUACCUCUU
rnacentral:tRNA from 1 species